GGUGAGUAACACGUGAGUAACCUGCCCUUGACUCUGGGAUAAGCGUUGGAAACGACGUCUAAUACUGGAUACGACCUUCGGAGGCAUCUUCUGGGGGUGGAAAGAUUUUUUGGUCAAGGAUGGACUCGCGGCCUAUCAGCUUGUUGGUGAGGUAAUGGCUCACCAAGGCGACGACGGGUAGCCGGCCUGAGAGGGUGACCGGCCACACUGGGACUGAGACACGGCCCAGACUCCUACGGGAGGCAGCAGUGGGGAAUAUUGCACAAUGGGCGCAAGCCUGAUGCAGCAACGCCGCGUGGGGGAUGACGGCCUUCGGGUUGUAAACCUCUUUUAGUAGGGAAGAAGCGAAAGUGACGGUACCUGCAGAAAAAGCACCGGCUAACUACGUGCCAGCAGCCGCGGUAAUACGUAGGGUGCAAGCGUUGUCCGGAAUUAUUGGGCGUAAAGAGCUCGUAGGCGGUUUGUCGCGUCUGCUGUGAAAACUGGAGGCUCAACCUCCAGCCUGCAGUGGGUACGGGCAGACUAGAGUGCGGUAGGGGAGAUUGGAAUUCCUGGUGUAGCGGUGGAAUGCGCAGAUAUCAGGAGGAACACCGAUGGCGAAGGCAGAUCUCUGGGCCGUAACUGACGCUGAGGAGCGAAAGCGUGGGGAGCGAACAGGAUUAGAUACCCUGGUAGUCCACGCCGUAAACGUUGGGAACUAGAUGUGGGGGCCAUUCCACGGUCUCCGUGUCG
rnacentral:rRNA from 1 species